rnacentral:rRNA from 1 species
AAGCUCGUAGUUGAAUUUCGGAACGCGUCUGGCCAAAGCUCGUCCUUGUGGCGUGGCUCGGCUGGUGCUUCCUAUCGUUUGUGAGGCGGUUAAACGCUUUACAAAUCAUUUACUUUGAAAAAAUAGAGUGUUCAAAGCAGGCGUAACCUUGCCAUUGGAUAUUACAGCAUGGGAUAAUAGAAUAUGACGUUGGUCUUAUUUUGUUGGUUUCUAAGGCUGAUGUAAUGAUUAAUAGGGAUAGUUGGG